rnacentral:rRNA from 1 species
UGGGGAAUUGUUCACAAUGGGCGCAAGCCUGAUGACGCAACGCCGCGUGGGGGAUGAAGGCCUUCGGGUCGUAAACCCCUGUCGAAUGGGACGAAUAGCCCGCGAUUUAACAAAACGCGGGAUUGACGGUACCGUUAAAGGAAGCCACGGCUAACUCUGUGCCCGCAGCCGCGGUAAUACAGAGGUGGCAAGCGUUGUUCGGAAUUACUGGGCGUAAAGGGCGCGUAGGCGGCUCGAUAAGUCAAAGGUGAAAUCCCUCGGCUCAACUGAGGAACUGCCUUUGAAACUGUCGAGCUUGAGUCCGGGAGGGGGUGGCGGAAUUCCCAGUGUAGCGGUGAAAUGCGUAGAUAUUGGGAGGAGCACCAGUGGCGAAAGCGGCUACCUGGACCGGAACUGACGCUGAUGCGCGAAAGCGUGGGUAGCAAA